AAAAGAAGAAGAAAAAG
rnacentral:sRNA from 1 species